GCGUCGUCGGCGCCCGGGGCGCUCACCGCACACACCGCGGAGUCUCUAGUCCAGGUGGUGACUUAGCGCCGCUUUGUGGCCGAAAGCGACCUCUGCGCACUCAUUUAAAGACGCAGUCAGGGUCUGCGCCAUGAAGAAAUAUGCCUCUUAGAAUCUUAAUUUUCUCUCCACUUACUAUGUGCCGGAUGUGGGUGCUGGAAACAGAAAUGAAGCUUCUGUGUAUUGAACAAGCCACGCACAUUGUCUCCUCAGGGCUCUGCCCUUGCCUACUACCUCACCAUCUGCAACAUCCUGCUCUCGCAACCUCCGCCUUUCCUUCAGGCCAAGGUCUCCAGGUCCUCAACCUCACUGCCUCCAAAAGGACCUUCCCAGACGGCCCAGUCAAAGGUGGCUGUACCCCCAGGCCCCCUCAGGAGGAUGAAUCAGGGGACCAGGGCAGUCAUCGCUGUUUGAAGUUACCCCGUAAAGAAUCCCCCUUGUCUUGCUCACUGCUGUUUCCCCAAAGAACAGAACGGUA